AUUUAGAUAAAAAGUGUAGUCACCAAUUCAGCAUAGGAUACAAAUAACAGAAGGUUGUCCCAUAUUUGUAUCCUAUGCUGAAUUGGUGACUACACUUUUUAUCUAAAUA